AAGCUUUUACUAGCAAGGGGUACCUAAUAAAGUGGCCGGUGCACACGACUUCAAAACAGGAGGGAAAGAGUGAAACCCGCCUGCAGCCGCAGCCUCUGCCUGCUUUUAUACUCCUUUGACGACUCGCCGUCAGCAGCUGGUUCCCACACGAACCCGGCCCGCCUGUUUACCUGUCCAGACUGUAAGGUGGCACAGAUAUGGUUGGACACCCACGGGACAGUGAACACCCUGAAAUUCGGCGUUUUCUGCCAGUUUUAAUGCACUGUUUCUACUUAUGUGCUGAGUUUAACAUAAAUCAUUUCCUAUAAAAGCUUCUGCA